AACGGGUGAGUAACACGUGGGUAACCUGCCCAUCAGAAGGGGAUAACACUUGGAAACAGGUGCUAAUACCGUAUAACAAUCGAAACCGCAUGGUUUCGAUUUGAAAGGCGCUUUUGCGUCACUGAUGGAUGGACCCGCGGUGCAUUAGCUAGUUGGUGAGGUAACGGCUCACCAAGGCAACGAUGCAUAGCCGACCUGAGAGGGUGAUCGGCCACAUUGGGACUGAGACACGGCCCAAACUCCUACGGGAGGCAGCAUG
rnacentral:rRNA from 1 species